rnacentral:rRNA from 1 species
UAGGGAAUCUUCGGCAAUGGACGGAAGUCUGAUGGAGCAACGCCGCGUGAGUGAAGAAGGUUUUCGGAUCGUAAAGCUCUGUUGUUGGUGAAGAAGGAUAGAGGUAGUAACUGGCCUUUAUUUGACGGUAAUCAACCAGAAAGUCACGGCUAACUACGUGCCAGCAGCCGCGGUAAUACGUAGGUGGCAAGCGUUGUCCGGAUUUAUUGGGCGUAAAGCGAGCGCAGGCGGAAGAAUAAGUCUGAUGUGAAAGCCCUCGGCUUAACCGAGGAACUGCAUCGGAAACUGUUUUUCUUGAGUGCAGAAGAGGAGAGUGGAACUCCAUGUGUAGCGGUGGAAUGCGUAGAUAUAUGGAAGAACACCAGUGGCGAAGGCGGCUCUCUGGUCUGCAACUGACGCUGAGGCUCGAAAGCAUGGGUAGCGAACAGGAUUAGAUACCCUGGUAGUCCAUGCCGUAAACGAUGAGUGCUAAGUGUUGGGAGGUUUCCGCCUCUCAGUGCUGCAGCUAACGCAUUAAGCACUCCGCCUGGGGAGUACGACCGCAAGGUUG